UACGAAGGGGGCUAGCGUUGCUCGGAAUCACUGGGCGUAAAGCGCACGUAGGCGGACUCUUAAGUCGGUGGUGAAAUCCUGGGGCUCAACCUCAGGAUUGCCUCCGAUACUGGCAGUCUCGAGUGCGGGAGAGGUGAGUGGAAUUCCCAGUGUAGAGGUGAAAUUCGUAGAUAUUGGGAAGAACACCAGUGGCGAAGGCGGCUCACUGGCCCGUAACUGACGCUGAGGUGCGAAAGCGUGGGGAGCAAACAGG
rnacentral:rRNA from 1 species